rnacentral:rRNA from 1 species
CGCAUCUGUGCAUGCAGCAUAUCAAUAAGUGGAGGAAAAGAAACUAACAAGGAUUCCCCUAGUAACGGCGAGUGAAGCGGGAAGAGCUCAAAUUCGAAAUCUUAAAGGGUUUCCCUUUACGAAUUGUAGUUUAAAGAAGUGUUUUCUGUUGAGGUUUUGGUAAAAGUUCUUUGGAAUAGGACAUCAUAGAGGGUGAGAAUCCCGUAUUUGACCCUUUACUUUCAACUUUGUGAUACACUUUCAAAGAGUCGGAUUGUUUGGGAAUGCAGUCCAAAAUGGGUGGUAAAUUUCAUCUAAAGCUAAAUAUUGGCGAGAGACCGAUAGCGAACAAGUACCGUGAGGGAAAGAUGAAAAGAACUUUGAAAAGAGAGUUAAACAGUACGUGAAAUUGUCAAAAGGGAAGCGUUUGACACCAGUGUUGUUUUUCUGAAAAUCAAUUAAAGAACUGUUUAUGCUAAGUUGUUUAGACUUUAUCAGCUAACUGUUUAGUUUUGAGCUUUUCUUUAAUGCACUUUUCAGUUAACAAGUCAACAUCAAUUUCUUUUGCUGUAAAAAAGCUUGAGGAAGGUGGCUUGAGAUUCGUCUUAAGUGUUUAUAGCCUCUUGCCUAUGCAGUCGGAGAGAUUGAGGUCUGCAGCGUAGAUCCUUCGGGGCUAAAUGCAUUUGUGCUAAGUUAUAACAUUUUAUAGACAACUUGUUGACUAUGAUUUGUCUUGUAGCUUACUCGCUUAUGUUAUUUUACCUACGCUUAGGAUGUUGACAGCAGUAUAGACUGU